GAUGAAGAACGUAGCGAAAUGCGAUAAGUAAUGUGAAUUGCAGAAUUCAGUGAAUCAUCGAAUCUUUGAACGCACAUUGCGCCCGCCAGUAUUCUGGCGGGCAUGCCUGUUCGAGCGUCAUUUCAACCCUCAAGCACCUUCGGGAGCUUGGUGUUGGGGAUCGGCAGGGCGUCCUCCGGGUCGCGCCGUCCCCCAAAUCUAGUGGCGGUCUCGCUGUAGCUUCCUCUGCGUAGUAAUACACCUCGCUCUGGAGUCUCGGUGCGGACACGCCGUAAAACCCCCAACUUUUUUCUGGUUGACCUCGAAUCAGGUAGGACUACCCGCUGAACUUAAGCAUAUCAAUAAGCGGAGGA
rnacentral:misc_RNA from 1 species